CUCUCUGAAUGGAGAGCAACGGCAAUUAGCCUUUUAACUAAGUAAAUAUAUUUCCAGAGAAGGUGGCAGAGGAGAUGACAGUGGGUGGAAAUCACAUGACUGGCAAUAUUGGUGGAUGCUGGUGAUAACAGAGGUGGCACAAAUGUUAAAGCUGAGGCAGGUGAGGACAGGGAUGUCAGAUUUUAUUAAGUUGGUGAUAACGAUGAUGGAAGUAGCAAUGGUGACAAUGAGGGUAGAGGAAAUCCUGCUGGUGGCGGCAAUGGCUGAAGGUUUGGGCUCCGGGCAGCUAUCCUUGGUGGUGUGGAAAAGUCUCCCCACAGCAAUUCUAAGAACCUAGGCCCUUUCUGCAGGCUCACAGCCUGCCCUGAGAGCAGUUGCCUAGCCAAGAGCUGACCUGAACACUUGAGUUCUGGAGGUUUGUCAUGGUGAUCACAUUUGUUCAGUUAGGUCUCACCAGAAGCAGGCGGGUUGGCUGUAUGUAUAUGACUUCUCCAGGGCCCUUUUGGCACAGGAUUCCGUGCAAAGCCAGAGAGCGGGUUCAGACCCACACUGGUCUCAGGCAAAAGAAACACUCUCUGGCCUCUUUUUCCCAAUCUCAUCCAUCCCCAGGUGUGGCUUCACAAAGACUCAGUCAGGGAGCUCACUGAGCCAGACUCUGGGUUUCUUUUGCAUCUGAAGGCCUUGUAGUGGCUGGUGGACAACAGGCUGGAUCGUCAAUGGAGGCCAGGAGGCUCUUUUCUGUUCCCAGGAAGACUGACCCUAUCUUCCUGGGCUAGAAGCCUAGCUGGGUGCAAGACGGAUUGGCCUCUGAAUCCCCAGGAGGCUGAGGCUUCUGAGCUGGCAGCCUAAGGUACUCGGGGAGAGAAAAAGUGAUCCAGGGGCCCAUGAGGAGGGAUCCACCCCUGCAUUGGCCACCCCAGGAUCAGUGAUGUCAACUUGGUCUUCUUGGGGAGGGCCAGCGCCACUCAUUCUGUGGGGGACUGAGGAAAGAAGGGCUUUUGAAGCCAGACAGGUCUAGGUUGGAGUCCAAGCUUAAUCACUUCCUAACUUUGUGCCUUUGCUCAAGUCCCUUCACUUUGCUGCACGUUAGUUUCCUCAUCUGGAAAAUGUGCUAAUAAUCCGGGGUUUGCAGAGGAUUCUAUGACAUAUUUCUACACCGUGCCUGUCACAAUUCCCCACACACCAUGGGCGUUCAUUCCAUAACUAGUAGUAGUUCC
rnacentral:lncRNA from 1 species